rnacentral:lncRNA from 1 species
CUCAGUGACAGUGUGGUGUGAUUAUUUGAGCAGAAUUUAUGCUAUGGCUUUAGCAACAGGGAAGAAUGAAAUGAACGCAUUUGUGCUUUUAAAAAUCCUUUUCACGUGCAGAUUCAGCCCGUUGUUAAAUUUGCACUGAUUUGUUUGCAGCAUCUUCCUCUCCUGCCUUACAUUGCAUGUGUGCUGGUUCAGUUUGUUCCAGAGUGUUGAUUUGAUUCAAACAGAUUCUUGGAGGAGGGGGAACAACAAAGAUGGAAAAGCUAAUUCAAGUAGAGGCCUGUUCUUCUGUACUGUGAAGACAGCAACUUAAGCUAGCUGUCCUCUGCAGGCUGUUGCAGUUAUUUGCAGCCACUUGGGCCACUGAGGCCGACAGAAGCCUUGAGAGAGGUGUCGUCCUUGUUCAUCAGUCAUCUUUUCCUGCUGUCAACAGUUUCAGGACUCCCUGCGCCAGCACAGACAAGGGCUCUGAAUUCAGUAAAAAUCUUGAUUUUUGUUUUGCUAUUUUAUGGGUGGAGUGGAUGCCAUGGGGACUACGCUUAUGGGACACAGACUGUUUGAUGAUAGGUCAUUAUCCAUCAGUGGGCAUCAAGCAAUGAUGUGUUGGCCAGAGGCACGGUGAAGCUUCCUUCUCUGUUCCUCCCCUUCCACACCCAUAAGAGAUUGCGGGAUGGUCACAGGCAAAGACUGAGAUGUUGGCCAGUUGCACACAUGGUUGCUCCACUAAGGAGCACGUUUCCGCAAAGAAAUGUGGUCUGGUUACACUCUUCAGCUUGACCUCUACAACCCCUUAUGUUCCUUUGGUUGGAAUUAUGAUCAGUGCUUCCAGACACCUCCCUCCUUUUCUCCCUGUCCCCACAGAGACUGACAGACUGUUACGUACAGUGUUAUGUAAGCGUAGAUGGGAUUGCUGGAACAUGUUGGGAAGCAAGACUGGUUUUGCCUCAGCAAGUAGGGAUGUUUGUUGUGAGACCGUGGAAAAACACAUGCAGUUUGGAAAACGACAUUACAUCAGGUGCAAGAAAGGUGACUACCUCUAACUUGGUAGUGAAGGAAGGGAGAGGUAUAAGACCUAUAUCCUGAGA